GACGAACGCUGGCGGCGUGCUUAACACAUGCAAGUCGAACGGUGACGAGGAGCUUGCUCCUCUGAUCAGUGGCGAACGGGUGAGUAACACGUGGGCAACCUGCCCCUGACUUCGGGAUAACGCUUCGAAAGAGGUGCUAAUACCGGAUAUGAGUCCCUCCGGCAUCUGAGGGACUGGAAAGUUUUUCGGUCAGGGAUGGGCCCGCGGCCUAUCAGCUUGUUGGUGAGGUAACGGCUCACCAAGGCGACGACGGGUAGCCGGCCUGAGAGGGCGACCGGCCAACGACUGGGACUGAGACACGGCCCAGACUCCUACGGGAGGCAGCAGUGGGGAAUAUUGCGCAAUGGGGGAAACCCUGACGCAGCGACGCCGCGUGAGCGAAGAAGGCCUUAGGGUCGUAAAGCUCUGUUGUAAGGGACGAAUGUUUAUCUGGCGAACAGUCAGAUAAAGUGACGGUACCUUACCAGCAAGCCCCGGCUAACUACGUGCCAGCAGCCGCGGUAAUACGUCUA
rnacentral:rRNA from 1 species